CCUACGGGAGGCAGCAGUAGGGAAUAUUGGGCAAUGGGCGAGAGCCUGACCCAGCCAUGCCGCGUGCCGGAUGAAGGCCUUCUGGGUUGUAAACGGCUUUUCUCAGGGAAGAAAAAGAGGAUGCGUCCUAAACUGACGGUACCUGAGGAAUAAGCACCGGCUAACUCCGUGCCAGCAGCCGCGGUAAUACGGAGGGUGCAAGCGUUGUCCGGAUUUAUUGGGUUUAAAGGGUGCGUAGGUGGCCCGUUAAGUCCGGGGUGAAAGCCCACAGCUCAACUGUGGAACUGCCCUGGAUACUGGCGGGCUUGAGUCCAGACGAGGUUGGCGGAAUGGAAGAUGUAGCGGUGAAAUGCAUAGAUAUCUUCCAGAACCCCGAUUGCGUAGGCAGCUGACUAGGCUGGUACUGACACUGAGGCACGAAAGCGUGGGGAGCGAACAGGAUUAGAUACCCUGGUAGUCCACGCCGUAAACGAUGGAUACUCGCUGGUGGCGAUAGACAGUCACUGGCUUAGCGAAAGCGGUAAGUAUCCACCUGGGGAGUACGCUCGCAAGAGUGAAACUCAAAGGAAUUGACGG
rnacentral:rRNA from 1 species